rnacentral:rRNA from 1 species
CCUACGGGAGGCUGCAGUGAGGAAUAUUGGUCAAUGGACGAGAGUCUGAACCAGCCAAGUAGCGUGAAGGAUGACUGCCCUAUGGGUUGUAAACUUCUUUUAUAAAGGAAUAAAACGAGGCACGUGUGCCUUUUUGCAUGUACUUUAUGAAUAAGGAUCGGCUAACUCCGUGCCAGCAGCCGCGGUAAUACGGAGGAUCCGAGCGUUAUCCGGAUUUAUUGGGUUUAAAGGGAGCGUAGAUGGGUUGUUAAGUCAGUUGUGAAAGUUUGCGGCUCAACCGUAAAAUUGCAAUUGGUACUGGCAGUCGUGAGUACAGUUGAGGUAAGCGGAAUUCGUGGUGUAGCGGUGAAAUGCUUAGAUAUCACGAAGAACCCCGAUUGCGAAGGCAGCUUACUAAACUGUGACUGACAUUGAUGCUCGAAAGUGUGGGUAUCAAACAGGAUUAGAUACCCGAGUAGUC